UGAGGUCUAACUUCCACCUUAAAUCUUCUUUGAUUUCUUUUUUUGGCAGAAGAAAGAUGGUCCAAAUUUAGGUAUCCAAGCUAGGAGAGAAAGUGCAGCUCAUCAGUGCUCUCACAAUCAAACCUGACAGCAACAGGUCUCCAGAGACUGCAGACAAAGAGUGCUACGUGGAGUGCUCCUCAGCCUUAGAGAUUCACAGAUAUUCAAGAACACAGUGUCCGUGGUUUGCAGAUCCUUUCUGCCAGGAUUGGCAAUGCCUAGCUCAUCUUGCAGAUUGGCAAUGCAAAAUAGGCUGCAUCAGAUUCAGAAUGAAGUGAGUGGAAUAGACAGGUGAUAAUUUACCUUUCCUACCAUGUCCUCUUAUUCCCUGUUUUCCUGCCUCCAUUGAUAGUACAUAUUUUGAAUCUUCUGAAGUUCACAUUCUCCUUAUAUUUGGUGUUUGGAAAAAUGGAAAUAGGAUGAUCACUACAAAAAGUAUUUAGACUCAAGUACAAUUCACAUUACACAUUGUUAAAAUAAGUUGUUUACUCUUAAGUCUAUGGAUCACUAUAGUUUUAAUGACUUACAAUUUAACAUAAUUCUACCAAUGCCCUAAACUUUAAUUUUCAAUGUAUUCAGUGAACUAAUAAUGUAUCUGAUAAGGGGUUAAGUGCAAAAAUUGUUUUCCUGAUGCACAUACAACUGAAACUUUAUCCAUCCACUUGUUUUUAUAUUUUCAUCUCCUCCUCCAUAUCUCAUACUUCCUGACAUAAGGAAUACAAACUUUUUGGAUUUCAGAAUUUUCACACAGGAAAUUGCAAGGAUGAUGGCCUUUAACCUAUAAAAUCUUUGCAAUAUAUAAUGAAGAAGUACCAAUGUUUUAAAUUGAAUAAAUCAUGAAGAAAAUUCAGCAAAAAAAAACCUAUUAUUUAAUUUUCAGUUGCUUUUAGGACACCAUUAGAAACUGCACAAAUAUAGGGGCUGCUAUGUUUAAGGCCACAACAGCUAGCCAAAGUGGAAUCCCUUCCUGGGAUGCUUAGUGCUAGUGGAAUUCAUUGCUGGUGAAAAAGCAUCAUCUCAUGAUUUUUCUCUUUCCUUCCUUCCAACUGAAAAAUUAAUCAUGAUACUGAAAAAAGGAAGGCAUGGAGAGAAGGAAGGGAGUUACAAAAGCAAGAACACAUAUCACACACUACAGUGCUGCUAUUUGAAAAGAGUCACAUAGAUUUGUGCAUCAGAUAGCCCUGAAGAUGACAGUGUCCUUGUCCAAAUCAGUGUAUUGCAUUUCUAAACUACAUUUCAGAUAGAAGAAUGACCUGGCUGACAUCAAUGUCCUGCAAAAGGUGCCAGAUGGGCUGACCCUAGCCAGAGCUGAAUUGGAGAUGCUGUCUGAGAUCCUGAUGAAAGAGUUGGCCUAUCUGAAGUAGAAUCAAUCAAGAGGAGGCCAAAAUCUGAUUUUUUUUUUCCUCCCAGAUCUCAAAAUUAAAACAUCAGGUUUGCAAAUCUGGAGUUAAAACACGACCUGUUUAAGUAGCCAUUUGUUUUGGAUGUGCCCGUGCAUGUACAUUGCUGCUACUGCUGUUUAUAAUGGUUCUUAUUAAGGUUUAAUU
ensembl:lincRNA